AACUGUCAAAAGCAUUAAUGCUAAGACAUAAUGUCAAGCACUUUUCCUAGCACAAAGAAAUGCUUGUCUUUAUGGAUGAAACUACUUGCCACAAUAUUUUCAUAAUGAAUCUAUACAAGCCAUAGAUUAUCUCCUGUUUUCUUCCAGGUGUUUAUAAAUUGUUUCAAUGUUUGUCUUAGUAUUUUUUUGUAAGAGUCUCAGUGUCUCUUUUCCUCUCUUUGUGAAGCACUCCAUCUCCUGCAGACUUUCAACUAUCAACUGCCUUCUGUAAGUUUACAAAGAUAAGACGUGGUCUUAGAAAUAAAGUCCAUACUAAGAAUUAACUGCAAAACAAUUGAAAGUGAUUUUUUUUUUUUUUUUUUUUUUUUACAUUUCUUGCGUACCAUUUGAGAGAUGAGUGCCACAGAAGAUGAGUAUUGUCGUUCAAGGAAGAGAAGGAAACAAGCUGUGGACAGAGGUCUGUGCACAGGAAAACAUCUUCUAGAGUUGGUAAAGAAUUCUGCACUGUAAUGCAAUUUUAUGAUGACCACAAGCGUCAUGGAAACAUUUCUGUUUCAGAAGGCUUUCACCAGCUCAUCUCUCUGUUGGGAGCUCCACUCAGUGAGGC
rnacentral:lncRNA from 1 species